GGAGAAAUGCUGCUGCGCUAUUUUAUUGUUUUCUUUGGAAAAUGAACCGUUUAUGUUGUACACGCUAAUACAAUAUGGUUACCGUUAAUGCUGCUACGUUAUCCAGCUGUUUUGUGCUGUUUUGACUGUUAAUAUAAGUUUUGUAGAAGUUUUCAACUCACUUUCUGGGCGCCAUUUGUAACGCAGCAGACCGCCCGUGUCUUGUAAACAAAGUACCACUUCAGACACCGUAGUAUCCAUUUCUUAGUGUAAACGCUGUUAUUUUGCCUGUUUAGGGAACAGAGGUGCAGAAAAGGACCAGAAGGCAAUUAAUGUGUAUUACUGUCUUCUGCAGGAGCAAAUAAAUGCUGGAAAACAA